CAUGAACUGAGCAGCACUCCUUCACCAAGCCCUUCCACCCUGAUGUUCUGCCUCACCUUGGGCCUAGAGCAAGGGAGUCGGCCCACCGUGGAUUAAACCUCAAAACCAUGAGCCCAAAUAGACUUUUCCUCCUCUGCGUUGUCCUUGUUCAUGGUGAAACAAAGAUGAGUGUACAAACAAGCCCACCUGGCUCCUCCUCAAGGUCGUCAUCGUCUCUGGCCUCAACUCUGUGUCAGCCCUUAGUGCAUCUCCGCUGUGGCCUCAUGCAGGUCAUUCUGCACUGGGUCGCCACAGUGAUCGGCAUGAGGAGUUCAAACAGACUCAUUGAAUGACCUGGAUGCUUUGAAUAUAAAUUGAAGAAAUGACGUUGUGAUUCCUCAGUCUGAAGAAAUACAAUUAUCAUCGCUACUAGCCUUGAAUUAAGCAUUUCUUUAUAGAUGAAUACACUCUUUGAAAUAGAAGAAUCUUCUGUGAAUCAUUUAAUCCCCUCUCCACAAAGAGGCACUCUUUGCAUAAAUAAUUUUGAGCAUUCAGGCUGGCUAUCUUCUGCAGUGCUGUUGCCUCCAAUAAAUCCUUCCUGCAUUGGA